GACAGAUGUUAUUGGGUCAAACCUUGUGUGCACCUUCACAGGUGUUCACAGCGGCUGUGAGAUCCAGAGUACAGUGCUCAUGCUGUUCCCGGAAGGAAGCAUUCAACAACACUCCAUCCUUUCUCCAGCUCGCACGUUCUUUCUUCUCCCUCUUCAGUGACGUUCCUGGAGUCUUGGGGAAGCGUUGCUGGUGUAGCUCAACAGAAAUCGGCACCUCGAACAGAACACGAGACGGGGAAAGGCAGCGAAUGGGCCCAGCAAGACAAUGGUGGAUGUCUGUUGUGCAGAGGGAAGUUCUUCUAUGUUGAAAUGUGUGUUCCUGAGUCUACAAGGCAGAAGGUUGACAAGUGGGCUUGAAGACCAAUGGAUCGGCAGGGAAAUUACUGAAUGAAUGAAAUCUACAAAGUGAAAAGUGAAAUGGAGGGUUUUGUCAGCACGAUCCAAGCAGCAGAUGGGUGGGAUCCAAAAAGGGAUGAGGCCUGACAGCACGUUUUUCUUUUCGAGUAUUAAUAAUUGGGAGUCACUUAAUCUGCAAGUCCCCCACCCGAGAACCAUGUGAAGAAAGUCUUUGGCUGAAGCACUGGCUCUGCUGAUAAAGAGCUUCCAUUGCAGAGGACCCAUGUUCAAACCCUGCAGAACCUACGUAGUCAAAGCCGAGUGUGUGGUGCUGUGUGGGAUUCCAGUGUCGAGGAGGCAGAGGCUUCACUCGCCAGUCAGCUUAGUCUGCUUGUGAAAUAUGGAGUCAAGUGAGAGACUCUGUCUCAAAACAAACAAACAAACAAGCAAGCAAGCAAACAAACGAAUAAAACCCCUCCCUCAAGGUGAAUAGUGCCUGAGGAACAGCAGCUAAGGCGAACCUAUACACAGGAACAAGGCUUGCGCAUUAAAGAGAGAAGAGACCCCUUGACCAAGGCUCAAUAAGGAGAAGCAUUUGGAAUAGACUGCUGUAGGUGUUAAAUCUCUGGAGAGGGAGGAGAACCCGGGGGAGAGAAAGUAGCAGCGAUUCUCUAUUAAAGACAAAUACAGGGCCUGGAGAGAUGGCUCAGCAGUUAAAAGGCACUGGCUGUUCUCCCAGAGGUCCUGAGUUCUAUUCCCAGCAACCACAUGGUGGCUCACAGCUAUCUAUAGUGGGAUUGGAUGCCCUCCUCUGACAUAAAGUUGUACAUGCAGAUAGAACACGCACACAUUAAAUAA